UCGUGGUUUAUACAUUCCUGCGCGAUGUCAUAAUCUGGCUCGCGUGCGAGUUUCUACGACUCGUAGGAAAAUGCUUCGAUUUGGGUUUAAUAAACUUUCUUUACUUCUACUUUGUUUUCGUGACCGUGGAAGAAUGUUCACAAGGUGCUUCGUAGAACGUCGACGGGAGGAUUUAUUCGUGUAAUUACUUUGAUAAUCGAAAGCCGAAACACGAUUUUUUGUGAUCUUCUUGGAUUUUUUUUGCUUAAAUCCUUUUGUACAGGAUACAAUAAUAGUAUUUGAAAAUAUGAAUCGGAGUUCAUAAUUGUGUGAAAUCUAUUUUUAUGUCGUUUGACACCGGAUUAUGAAUGAAUGUUAUAAAAACGAGUGUUCAUGUGAAAUUUUUGUAUUCCACAAGUGAAAGGGAAAUAAGAAUAGCCUCAAUUUUGGGCAGUUAGCGAUAAAAAUUUCGAAACGCACCGAUUGGUUCCCAAUUGCAUCUCGGUCGCGAGCGUCUGUCGGAGGGAGUCGCACAAUUUAGCGUCCAUUUCGAGCAUGUAUUUCCGCGUUCUUCCGCCCGACAACAAAGAGGCACGUACUUUCCGUUACGGUCAUAAACGAAGCACAAUGAGAAGUUAACUAGCCCACAGAAAAUAAAUUCUGGUUCCUUCCCGUUGCAACGCGUCGCUUGGCGCAGAUUAUGUUUUUUCCGCGACAAGAUAAAUCGCCUCCCACCGAGCGUGCAGUCGAUGUCACAAAACAAUUGUAGGAUCUUUUGCUUCGCUAUCAGAUUUACAAAAUUCCGUGUGAACAAAAUUAUUUUAAUUUGGACACUUGCGCUUCGAGUUCGAGCCACCUUCGAUACAACGAAACAAAAGAAAAUAUUCCAAGUAUCUCCAAGUUGAAUUCGAAACGGCUCGAAAUUUUCAAAGAGGAGGGAUUCAUCUCGAGAUGCGUGAACGGAGAAACUUCUGAUUUAUUUGAAGAUGGUAAGAGAUUGUUGCCCGGUGGGAGAGAUAAACUGCGAUAAGAUACUCGGUAUCGUUUAUCAAACGAAACAUGGUCGUGUCCCCUGUCGGAAUCUUACCUUUGUCAUGAGUCUUGCUACGUGCCACGGAAAGCUUUUAUUCUCGUGCUGUUAUAUACCUGGAAUAUACCAUGGUGUAUAUUUUGCUGUACUUUCAUGUGAGAAUGUACGAAGCAAGUAAUGAUAUGUUGUCAAUCUUCGGUUUGGACUACGUAUAGUUUUGACACUUGACCCAAUCAGUUAGACACUUCGUCUGAGAUUUGAUUUGAUUAAAAUCCACUUCGGUCAUUAGGAGAGAGUGAUUUGCCGUUAUGGAAAUUAUGACGCUGUGACCGCAGCUAAUGGCUUGAAUAUUACAUCCUAAUGAAAUAUUAAUGAUACUCUGGCGGAUGACUAGUGGUGUACUUUGAUACAAGACCCAAAUACAUUAAUAACGACUAAUUUCAACGUCUCGAUUCGUCUGUUUCAAUAAAAGCAACAAAUACGCAACUAAAUACAUAUGCAACGUAAACGCCAUGCUCUACCUAGUAGAGUAAUAACUCGAAUAUUCUAUAAAAUGAUAUCACAAGAUUGAAAAAAUUCAUAGAAAAUUUGUAUACCUAACAAAAUUACUUAUGCCAUUUUAGGAGCCAUUCCUCCAAUCGUAUCCUUAUGACACAGUUAUUUUAAUUAUAGUCGAACGAAAAAUUAGAAACGCCCCACUUCCCAACGCGUGCCACAAUAACGGGUGUUCAAACGGGUUCACGAAACCCAAACGAAAAAAUCGUCGAUUGCGGCUGUUCUUGUUUUCGUCUGCUGUCACAUCGAAUAGGCGUAUGUCAACGUAUGAGUAUGUCAAGCUCGACUAUCCCUUUGGGAACGCAUGCCUGUGCCGUAACGUGUACCGUAGUCCACCGGAUGUCAUGAUGCGGUUUGCCUUAUUGCAGCCGCUAUAUUAACGUUCAUGCGGACGUUGCUGUCGAAUCGGACGAGUGACGUUAAUCGAGCCAAAUUAUACACGCUGGCACACCAGAGGCUAGAGAAUUCAUCUUGUUGACUAGCCUCGAUUUGAGUGCCCAUACAAGCUGUAUCCUAACACGUGGUGCCCACUUCAGCAGAUCGAGGACAUGAAAACAAUGAAAAAAGUUUAUACACGCACACGUGCUCCAUUUCGACCUUGUUCGCGAGUUAUAGCUAUUUUUGUAGCCUAUAAACUUCUAACCCUAAACUGAGCUACUACUGUACUGUUGACGUAUGCUACCGCGAAGCCCACUGGGUAGCUUGCAAACUGUUACUAAAGAAUGUACACAUUUAUCCUAUUCCAAAACAACCCACCAUUAUCGUACCAAGUAUAACGCUACUAGUUCGCGCGCUCGCCGUACGCUGAACCCCUACCAAGCUCUAAUCUAGACACUCAGUUCACGCGUGUAUCCACCUACACUUGAUAUACCUGUAUAUAUCUGUAUAUCGUCUGCACGCUUCGAAGAUCGAUAACAAACGUAAGCAUCCGUUGAGACGCAAACUUCUUCGGGGGCAACGAUUCGGGUAAGCAAAGAGCUGAAGAGAUAAAGACUGACCCACCCGCAUUAUCGAAAAUUCACAACCUACGACAAGUAUGGUACUCCAGGAGUUCCGAUAGCGCACGGAGGAACCGUGGACGCAUGUUUUAUCUGUUGAAACGAGAAGCCACGUAACUCACGGCGUCGAUAAGGCUGGCUCGUUUGUUGAUUUAGCGCGACACGCGGUUAUCUAAAGAUAUCGCGCUGUUAAUGUACAAACUGGUGGAUUUGUGGCGAGGAGGAAUUAUUUGCUAGAGGCACCGUGAUCGCGAGACUCGAGUUUGCAAUGAUUGGCGACCGUGAAGAGAUGACUUUGCAAGUGCAGAGAAUUAAGUCCUUGCAAUUUGAGAUAUUUUUAUGUGAACGAUACUUUUCUCCAAAGAAAAGUAUUCAUCAAAAUGAGAGAGUGGGUGACACUUGAAGGAUGUUCCUCGUCGUCCCGUUGCAUAUUGAUGCAGCAAUGUCGCGUUUUACGCCGCGGUGGACGCCGUUGUGCAACGCGACAACGUGGACGCGCGGAUGAAAAUAAUUAAGCGGCUAAUAAUAUAAAAGGACGCGUCGUUGAAUCUCACCUUGCUCCACUUUCCUCUCAUGCGUCGUUCGGAAAGUAACGCGUGCAAUUAGAUUACAACAUUCCCGUAGCAUACAGGAGCGUCGAGUACCUAAAUUACACGAGUGGCAAAUCUGCACAAUCGCGAAGGAAGUCCUGUUUUUCUGUGUGUACUUUGAAUCUUUCUAUGUAGAAACGUUCACUGAUUCCAUUCCUGUUCCAUUUAUGAAUCGUUAAAAUAGAACUUCACUUGAAAAAAAAGAAUGGAAAUUCAAUAAAGGAAGACACGAGGAAUGCUCAACAGAGACCAAAGGUACCCUCCCUUUUUUAAGCUUGGAACAUAUGAGAACAAUGACCCUACUCAGACGACAGGGUUCAAGAAACAGGCCAUGCUACCUAAGUAAGCAGUCGAGAAGCUGAAAGGUGUUUGAACAUCGGGCAAACUGCUUCUUUUUACGGUCCAGUGGGAAUAUUACCUCCCUAUGUCUUUCUCUCCUUCACUGAUAAUUGGAUCCUUUCCUAAAUCACUUCGCCACACUCGUUUACCUAUGGUUACCAAAACUUAGAGUACUUUCUUUUGCUAACAUGGAAUAAUUGUUAUCCGUUUAUCGAGAAAAUUAUUAUCCUUUUACCAACAUCUCAUUAUCUAAUUAAGUUCAACUAGUCUAAACGCCAAUUCAUUUUGUCACCACUCAGAAAUUUAAAAUAGCUGCCACAUGCAAGAGCUAAUGAAUAUUGUAAUUACCUUCCUACGUUAUCGAGACGAGGACAAGUAUGAUAUUAAUGGACGUGCAUGCAGCCAAAUGCAUCUUACUGCUUGGACGAAUUAAAUGAUUCGUGAUAUUUCCUUAGUUAUAACGAUCGAACGAAUAUCCUGAAUGAAAGUGAAUACAAUAUUUACAAUAUGUCAGCCGUUAAAGCCUAAAGAUUUUUGAUAUUUACAGAGUAUGUACAAUGACAGUAUGCGAACGAAGUAUGUAAUUCAUAAUCUGAAGCGCUUGCAAGUAUAAAUUUAGUUACUUAUAUAUACAAUUUAAUUGGUAACUUACCGUGAAGCGUUAAAAGUGCAUUAACAAUCGUGACAAGUUCACGACCGACCGUGUUAGUCCGUUUUUCAUACAGUAUUAUCUUACGUUCAAGGAAAGAGAAAUCAAGGAAACAUGAUCGCACGCAAUCACGCUGGUAUUCGUUUCACUCGCAUGCAGUUUCACUUAAAAUAUACUCAAAUAUAUAUAUAUUGUCACAGCAAUAAACGCAAAAAUUUACUGUGGAUUUCUUGCACGCCUUGCGUUUCGAUAGCGAAAAUAUCGUUCCUGGUUUUUGGGAUAAUCAACUUGCGUUGAAAAUUUAAAAAACGACUGAAAUAAUAAUCUGGAGAUAAAGAUAUAUUUGAAGUGAUAAUAAUCAUAAAAGCUUAAACAUAGGAGUUUUUUAAAAUAAAGUUGUAUAUAAUUUUCUUUUUGAUUAGUGGUAAUAGUGCAAUAGUAACUACUUACACUGUAAAAAUAAUUAUAAAAUAUGUUGCAGUAAUUAAACAAAUAUUUUAUAACAAUAAUAGAAGACCAAGGUUAUGGAUAUCAAGCUUGUCAGGACUAUUAUCAUAACAAAUAUACAAAAAUGUGAUAAAAUAAGAAACUUAACUGUGACCCGUUAUUCGCUCACUUUUCCUUCUCACUUAUGAUUCAAGAACAAAGGAAGAACAUUUUGGUUUAUAAGCAAAUACGCGGCGGGCAGCAUUACUUCGCGAGGCAAUUUAAUUGUACAUUUCAAUCAACAUGAAUCCCGAUUAACGUCAAGCACGAGAGAUCCGCGUAAGAAACGACAACAACGAACCGGAAAAGCAAGCUCAUUAACGACGGACGACGAAAAGAACGCUGGACAGGGACCAAUGAAAUAAUCACGAAAGCUCCAAGGACGUACGAAAGCGACAAAAUAAUUCAAGACAUCGCAUACACAGCAGCAUAACGUUUAUUAGCACACCAACGAUAUAUAUGUAUAAAUAUAACGCACUAUAAUCGCUUAAAUUUACCGUCUAUACUGUACCUAAUUUUAAUAUACUCUUACACAUGAUUACUCGCCGAGCGAUUACAAUAACUAGACGAAGCGUAUAACGUAAAAUAAAAUAUAAAAAUCAAUCACAAAAUAAACUAUGUGUAUACCAGGGAAGGAAGUUUGAUGUAACAAAUCAAAAAAACACUUAAUCUACGAGUCUCGCUAUUCGUCGAGCGCCUCUGGCUGUCGCGGAUAGGUUCGUUUAAAUUGUAAUAUUACGAUGCAAAAAUACAAAGGGAGAUUUUGAUUGUAACCGAGCUCUACGAAAUUAUGGAUUUAUUAUUGGAUAACGUGUACAAGUAGCAUGCGAGAAGAUUGCUCUUGAGGAUGAGUAUGCGCCUCAUUUUCAGAAGCAAACCCUUCGCGAGCGACUACUGUAUUUUGCUGAAAAUGGCAGACUGAUACUAGACACAGUUUGAAAAAUAAAAAUGUCGAGAAUAAUUUGUAACAUCCAGGAGAAACCUAUCCACGAUUUCCUGAUAAACGCAACGUUCUAAAUCACCCACCGCACCCGUUACAAUACCCACUUGUCGAUGAAUACUUUCACUUAUUGUUAGGUAUAACUUUCGUUAAGAUCUACAACGACGAUAUCUGAUACGACCUAAAAGAAUCGAAGUCCGAUAACGUGGAACCUCUUUGAAUACUUGGUGUGAUGUCUUAUAGCUACUGCUGGGGAAAGGAGAGAUUGCACAUUUUUUCACGAGGAAAAAUUCUUUCCUCUACUUUAUCGAAUAUACGCGUUACAACGAACGUGUAAGUGAAAAAGGAAGCGAAUACUACGGUGUGGUAAGAGUGUCUAUGAUUUCGUGUAACGAUUGUGCGUUUACUGUGGUUAAAAAAGUAGUAUCUUUUACGAUACGUCGGCACCGGCUUAAAAAAAAACAGGUUGUGCGUAUAUUUACAGAAACAGAGUAACCGACGUAAUGUAUGUGGCAAAUGAUAAGUGUAUAUGAAACCCAGAGUAAACUCUAACAGGGAAAUAAUUGGCAAAAUGAUCGAUACAGUAAUCAUCGUUAGUUUCUAUACAGAUAUCAUGUACAGUGUAUACAUAUACGCACGACGACUCGUAUAUAUAGGGUGCUAAUGAAAGAAAUGAUUCAAGAAUCCGAGGACGCGUAGUGACGAUUAAAAUUACCGAAUUAUAAUUUUAUCGUAAUUCGAUGUUAUUGAAAAUUGAUAUAGAUUGGUAGCGUAGCAAUACGUUUCUUUUGUUGACGAACUGUUACGUCUCGUAAACAAUUAACGGUGUGAGCUGUACUAUGUGCAUUACUUAACAUUAGCAUCCGAUUGUCAACGUUGGCACUAGCUGUUUCUAGAUUGUCAUAGUUGGAGCUAAUCGACGUACCACUACGCCUUUUCGAAGUAUCAGCUUUUAAAUUUAUGUAAAGUGGAUUAUAUACUGUUCACGUAGUACUACAUUCUCAGCUUGUAAACGUUUAGAUUGGUUCACAAACUGCUACGUCUUAUUCAAAACUACACUCGAGAGUCUCUAAUACAGUUCCAUCUGUUUCUUUCACAACUUCUUUCAGGUUGCAAACGUUAAAAGGAUAUGACGUAAGAGUGUCCUUGGUUACGCGACAAGUUAUCCUUUCUUCUCGAUAAUAUCCAAGCUAUAACCAACAUAUACUGAUAAAUAACACUGGCUGCCCGAGAAUGUCGUUCUUGAAUCCUCUAUAAGAAGAUCUCCUUCUGCUCUGUCAAAGCUGAUUCAUGGCUCUCCGAUCACUCAUUUAAACACGCGUCAAAACUCUUGAAUCCUCUUUCAAAGACCCAGCAUAUACACGUAUAUAUACAUCACAGUUAACGAACCAAUGUAGUCGAUAACCUAAGGAACUAUUCGAUCUUUAAUCGUAGGUAGCUUACACAGAAAGGUGUACGAGUCUACUCUGUCGAUCGUGUAUUUCCUUUCCGACGAGCGUUUCGCCGGAAACGAGGGCAGCUUCCGGAAUUAUCGUGAAAACACUUCGCUCUGGCAACGAGAAACUGGCGCUGAAGGUGAGCAGAGCACCUCGAGGCACGACAGUCACAGUACUGCCUCGUUUAUUGAAAUCAACUGGCCACCGUUGGAUUAUAAAGCGAUUUAGUAACGUGUAGUCGCCACAAUAUGCGUGCAGGACCGUUUUGAACUGCGGUAAGCGGGUUUUCAGUUUCCCAGUUGCUAGCUGCUCGAGACGACAAGUGCUCGAUACAAAGAAACUUAAACAGAGGUUGAAAGAGGAGGAGAUGUUUUCAUUUCAAGUAUCCCUAUCGCAAAUUUAUUCAAAAAGCGAGGCAGUGCUGUUAUUCUCUCCGCAGAUAGGAUUCCGCUUGCGCUGCACGUCUACCGUCGCGUGUUAGCAAAGACUGAAGACUUUAUUAGCGUAUCGCGGCUAUAUUCUUCGCUCGACGCAUUCGUCCAGUCGGGGAAAUUAAAGGAAUGCCACGUCCCGCCAAAAUACUGGACUUCUAGACUUCUGGCGCCGGCCAGAAAACGCGAAUCUAGACGCCCAGGUCUAGCAGUCCCACUGGAUCACUUUUCUCCAAGACCCUGACAUUAAAACACGUCCGACUGCGGUCAAGUUGAACAUCCAUGACGCACGGAACGACGGAUACAGUAUUCUAGCAAAUCGUACAACCAAGGAGAACACAACGCAACUUGAAUACAAUAAAACAAUCAGCACAAAACAAUAACCGCGAGAAAAGUUGUCAUGACGGGAAAGAAACCCUCGCAGUUCGACCAAUCGAAAAGAAAAUUCCCUCAAAAGACAGUCCUCUCGUGAGCAGUUUUUUUUUUUUUUUUUACUCGACGUGAAAUGACAUAAACGCAAACGAUUACAUUCUCGUGAAUUCUUCGUUUGGAAUUUUCUGUACCGGCUGUUUACUCUUCACCCGUGGGAGUAUGAUCUCCCACUGGCGAUUGUCGUCAGGGAAACGGUCAAAAACAAGAAAAAACAAAGACGUAACACAACGAUUAUGCAUUUACACGUGGGCAGAAAGAAG